CGGGGACUGGCUCAAUGGUAGAGCGCUCCCUUGGGGUGGGAGAGGCUACAGGUUCGAUUCCUGUGUCCCCGACCG
rnacentral:tRNA from 6 species